rnacentral:rRNA from 1 species
GACGAACGCUGGCGGCGUGCUUAACACAUGCAAGUCGAACGGAAAGGCCCUGCUUUUGUGGGGUGCUCGAGUGGCGAACGGGUGAGUAACACGUGAGUAACCUGCCCUUGACUUUGGGAUAACUUCAGGAAACUGGGGCUAAUACCGGAUAGGAGCUCCUGCUGCAUGGUGGGGGUUGGAAAGUUUCGGCGGUUGGGGAUGGACUCGCGGCUUAUCAGCUUGUUUGUGGGGUAGUGGCUUACCAAGGCUUUGACGGGUAGCCGGCCUGUGAGGGUGACCGGCAACAUGGGGACUGAGAUACGGCCCAGAGUGCUACGGGAGGCAGCAGUGGGGAAUAUUGCACAAUGGGCGGAAGCCUGAUGCAGAAACGCCGCGUGCGGGAUGACGGCCUUCGGGUUGUAAACAGCUUUCGCCUGUGACGAAGCGUGAGUGACGGUAAUGGGUAAAGAAGCACCGGCUAACUACGUG